rnacentral:rRNA from 1 species
CCCGCUGAACUUAAGCAUAUCAAUAAGCGGAGGAGAAGAAACCAACAGGGAUUACCCUAGUAACGGCGAGUGAAGCGGUAAUAGCUCAAAUUUGAAAUCUGACCUUUACGGGUUCGAGUUGUAAUUUGUAGAAGAUGCUUCGGGUGUGGCCCUGGUCCUAAGUUCAUUGGAACAGGACGUCAUAGAGGGUGAGAAUCCCGUAUGUGACUGGGUGCCUAUGCUCAUGUGAAGCUCUUUCGACGAGUCGAGUUGUUUGGGAAUGCAGCUCAAAAUGGGUGGUAUAUUUCAUCUAAAGCUAAAUAUUGGCCAGAGACCGAUAGCGCACAAGUAGAGUGAUCGAAAGAUGAAAAGCACUUUGUCAAAGAGAGUUAAACAGUACGUGAAAUUGUUGAAAGGGAAGCGCUUGCAACCAGACUUGCACGCUGUCGAUCAUCCGAGAUUCUUCCCGGUGCACUCGAUUGCGUUUCAGGCCAGCAUCGGUUUUGGUGGGUAGAUAAAGACCUUAGGAACGUAGCUGCUGCUCGGGGAGUGUUAUAGUCUUCGGUGCAAUGUAGCCUACUGGGACCGAGGACCGCGCUUCGGCUAGGAUGCUGGCGUAAUGGUAGUAAGCGACCCGUCUAUGAAACACGG